UACGUAGGUGACAAGCGUUGUCCGGAUUUACUGGGCGUAAAGAGCGCGCAGGCGGUCGUUCAAGUCGAGUGUGAAAGCCCCCGGCUCAACUGGGGAGGGUCAUUCGAUACUGAUCGACUCGAAGGCAGGAGAGGGAAGUGGGAUUCCCGGUGUAGUGGUGAAAUGCGUAGAUAUCGGGAGGAACACCAGUGGCGAAGGCGACUUCCUGGCCUGUUCUUGACGCUGAGGCGCGAAAAGCUAGGGGAGCAA
rnacentral:rRNA from 1 species